AUGAACGCUGGCGGCGUGCUUAACACAUGCAAGUCGAGCGAGAAAGUCCCUUCGGGGAUGAGUACAGCGGCGGACGGGUGAGUAACACGUAAGAAUCUGCCCUGUAGUGAAGGAUACCUUCGAGAAAUUGAAGUUAAUACUGCAUAAGUCCUUCGGGAGAAAGACGUCUUUUAUGUCGUCGCUACGGGAUGAGCUUGCGGACUAUCAGCUAGUUGGUGGGGUAAAGGCCUACCAAGGCUAUGACGGUUAACCGGCCUGAGAGGGUGUACGGUCACACAGGCACUGAGAUACGGGCCUGACUCCUACGGGAGGCAGCAGUGGGGAAUAUUGCGCAAUGGGCGAAAGCCUGACGCAGCGACGCCGCGUGGAGGAUGAAGGUCUUCGGAUUGUAAACUCCUGUCAGGUGGGAAGAAAAGAUUCGUUUUUAAUAGAGAUGGAUUAUGACGGUACCAUCAGAGGAAGCACCGGCUAACUUCGUGCCAGCAGCCGCGGUAAUACGAAGGGUGCAAGCGUUAUUCGGAAUCACUGGGCGUAAAGAGUGCGUAGGCGGUAUGCUAAGUUUGUCGUUAAAGACUCUAGCCUAACUGGAGGGUUGCGAUGAAAACUGGUGUGCUAGAGGAUGAGAGAGAGAAGUGGAAUUCCUGGAGUAGCGGUAAAAUGCGUGGAUCUCAGGAGGAACACCAAUGGCGAAGGCAGCUUCUUGGCUCAUAUCUGACGCUGAGGCACGAAAGCGUGGGGAGCAAACAGGAUUAGAUACCCUGGUAGUCCACGCCGUAAACGAUAAUCACUAGAUGUUAGUCUAGCUUAGCUGGAUUAGUGUCGUAGCUAACGCGUUAAGUGAUUCGCCUGGGAAGUACGGUCGCAAGGCUAAAACUUAAAAGAAUUGACGGGGGUCCGCACAAGCGGUGGAACAUGUGGUUUAAUUCGACACUACGCGAGAAACCUUACCUGGGCUUGACAUGUACUUGACAGCUGUAGAAAUACGGUCUUUUGGGUUUCGGCUCAAACGGGUACACAGGUGCUGCAUGGCUGUCGUCAGCUCGUGUCGUGAGAUGUUGGUUAAGUCCUCUAACGAGCGCAACCCCUCGCCCUCAUGUUGCUACUAAUGUUAAUCCGGGCACUCUGAUGGGACUGCCCGGGAACGGGAGGAAGGUGGGGAUGACGUCAAGUCCUCAUGGCCUUAUGUCCAGGGCUACACACGUGCUACAAUGGCUACUGACAAUGGGUAGCCCCGCUGCAAGCUGGUAGCCAAUCCUCACAAAGUCGCGUCCAGUUCGGAUGAGGUGCUGCAACUCGCCAGCUUGAAGCUGGAAUCGCUAGUAAUCGGAGAUCAGCACGCUCCGGUGAAUACGUUCCCGGGCCUUGUACACACCGCCCGUCACACCACGAAAGCUGCGUGUACCAGAAGUCACUGGGCCAACCCCCUUGUGGGGAGGUAGGUGCCGAAGGUAUGCGGGGUGAUUGGGGUG
rnacentral:rRNA from 1 species